UCAGCCGGUACUCGCGAAUGNCUCUAGAUUAGAGUUGAUCAUGGCUCAGANNUGAACGCUGGUCGGCCAAGCUUAACACAUGCAAGUCGAGCGGGGAAGGUUGCUUCGGUAACUGACCUAGCGGCGGACGGGUGAGUAAUGCUUAGGAAUCUGCCAUUUAGUGGGGGACAACAUUCCGAAAGGAAUGCUAAUACCGCAUACGUCCUACGGGAGAAAGCAGGGGAUCUUCGGACCUUGCGCUAAAUGAUGAGCCUAAGUCGGAUUAGCUAGUUGGUGGGGUAAAGGCCUACCAAGGCGACGAUCUGUAGCGGGUCUGAGAGGAUGAUCCGCCACACUGGGACUGAGACACGGCCCAGACUCCUACGGGAGGCAGCAGUGGGGAAUAUUGGACAAUGGGCGGAAGCCUGAUCCAGCCAUGCCGCGUNGUAGUGAAGAAGGCCUUAUGGUUGUAAAGCAC
rnacentral:rRNA from 1 species